CUUUGGGAAUUAUUCAAUUUGUUUUUAUGUUAAAAUAAUUAACUUCAUCAUUUUGAUGAAGAAAAUUCAUUUUAAUUCAAUUUUUCAUCAUCAAAAUGAUGAUUUUCAUUUUCAUCUAUCAACAAACUUUUUUAAUUGUACUGGCAUGGUCAGUCAACUGAUAAGUUGUAUGGCUGAUUACAGGUAAAUCAGUAAUUUCUAUUUGACAGUUGUGUGUACUCUGGGGUGUGGAAUACCUUAAUUUUAUGGGGAACAUCCUGUCCAUGUGUAUUCCAACAGGUGACAUUACACAAAUUGUUCUUUUAUUAAAUGAAUGAUUUGUAUAUCAUCAUGAUUUUCUAUUUAUAUAAACCACAUUUUGGUACAAUAAUUAUUUACC
rnacentral:lncRNA from 1 species